rnacentral:lncRNA from 1 species
CUCCUCCGUCGUCUGUUGCCCCAUCUCCUAUCCUAGCGCCCCUCCUCUGCUCAUCCUCAGCUCUCUGCCCGGCAGCAACGCGCCAUCCGCCUUCUGUCCUCUUCUCCCAGCUCCCCACGCGCCAAUCUGCUCGCUCGCCUCACCUCUCCGAUCCGCUCGCCGGCUGCCGCCGCCCGCAUGCAGCGGAUCGGUGCGGCAGAUCCAAACAGGCCGAUGCAGAGCAGACUCGCAGCCCCCGUGCAUGCAUCCAGCGUGCUGUAUCCUGGCUGCGAUGCAGUCGCUGGGUCUCAGGGAAACCAAACACGCCCGAAGAGUCAUCACUACACAUGCCUAUUGACGCUUGUCGUAUGGGUC